GUCUACAGCCAUACUACCAUGAAUGUGCCUGAUCUUGUCUGAUCUUGGAAGCUAAGCAGGGUUGGGUCUGGUAAAUACUUGGGUGGGAGAAAAUUGCAUCAAUUAACUACUUUGGCUC
ensembl:rRNA 5S_rRNA 5S ribosomal RNA